UUAAAUCAAAAUCAGGAUACGAUUGUCACAAGAAACAAACUUUCCUAGAUAAUGUAUAUUUUAUAUUAUUAUCAUAUUAUGUAUGCACUUAAGACAUCUCCAUCCAUGAGAAACCUACAAAGUUUUUCAAACAAAAA
rnacentral:sRNA from 1 species